UGGGGAAUUUUGGACAAUGGGGGAAACCCUGAUCCAGCCAUCCCGCGUGUGCGAUGAAGGCCUUCGGGUUGUAAAGCACUUUUGGCAGGAAAGAAACGUCAUGGGUUAAUACCCCGUGAAACUGCCGGUACCUGCAGAAUAAGCACCGGCUAACUACGUGCCAGCAGCCGCGGUAAUACGUAGGGUGCAAGCGUUCAUCGGAAUUACUGGGCGUAAAGCGUGCGCAGGCGGUUCGGAAAGAAAGAUGUGAAAUCCCAGAGCUCAACGUUGGGACUGCAUUUUUAACUACCGGGCGAGAGUGUGUCAGAGGGGGGUGGAAUUCCGCGUGUAGCAGAGAAAUGCGUAGAUAUGCGGAGGAACACCGAUGGCGAAGGCAGCCUCCUGGGAUAACACGGACGCGCAUGCACGAAAGCGUGGGGAGCAAACAGG
rnacentral:rRNA from 1 species